rnacentral:pre_miRNA from 1 species
UUGAAUAAACCCAUAGAUCAAAACCCAUUUGGAUAAAAAAUGGGUUUUGAUUUCUGGGUUUAUCCAAAUGGGUUUUGAUCUAUGGGUUUAUUCAAC